rnacentral:lncRNA from 1 species
GAGCCGACUUCGUCUGAUGAGCUCCUUGAUUUCAUCUCGAAGCUGAAUACACUCCUUCAUGUCGUGGCUGUGGUCACGAUGAUAGAGGCAGAACUUAUUAGGAUUGCGCUUCUCAAGGUGUGUGCACAUCCUUUUUGGCCUUGACAGCUGCUCCCUGACCUCCAUCAGCACUUGGGCUUUUGGAGCAUUGAGAGGGGCGUAGCUAUGG